rnacentral:rRNA from 1 species
AUGAACGCUGGCGGCGUGCCUAAUACAUGCAAGUCGAGCGGUAAGGCUCCUUCGGGAGUACACGAGCGGCGGACGGGUGAGUAGCGCGUAAGAAUGUACCCCAAAGUGAGGGAUAAGCACCAGAAAUGGUGUCUAAUACCGCAUGUGCUCUUCGGAGUAAAGCUACGGCGCUUUGGGAACAGCUUGCGUACGAUUAGCUAGUUGGUAAGGUAAUGGCUUACCAAGGCGACGAUCGUUAGCUGGUCUGAGAGGAUGAUCAGCCACACUGGGACUGAGACACGGCCCAGACUCCUACGGGAGGCAGCAGUAGGGAAUUUUCCACAAUGGGGGCAACCCUGAUGGAGCAACGCCGCGUGAUGGAUGAAGGCCUUCGGGUUGUAAACAUCUUUUCUCUGUGACGAAUAUGACGGUAGCAGAGGAAUAAGGGUCGGCUAACUACGU